rfam:Trypanosoma cruzi strain CL Brener tcruzi_1047053485217, whole genome shotgun sequence.
AGCGCAGCGACCCUUGGGCCGGUGGCGCGCUGUCGGUGCCGCGCGUGGCG